rnacentral:rRNA from 1 species
CCUACGGGUGGCAGCAGUGGGGGAUAUUGCACAAUGGGCGAAAGCCUGAUGCAGCGACGCCGCGUGAGGGAAGACGGUCUUCGGAGUGUAAACCUCUGUCUGUGGGGAAGAAAAUGACGGUACCCAAAGAGGAAGCUACGGCUAACUACGGGCCAGCAGCCUCGGUAAUACGGAGGGAGCAAGCGUUGUCCGGAAUUACUGGGUGUAACGGGAGCGUAGGCGGGAUGGCAAGUAGAAUGUUAAAUCCAUCGGCUCAACCGGUGGCUGCGUUCUAAACUGCCGUUCUUGAGUGAAGUAGAGGCAGUCGGAAUUCCUAGUGUAGCGGUGAAAUGCGUAGAUAUUAGGAGGAACACCAGUGGCGAAGGCGGCCUGCUGUGCUUUACCUGACGCUGAUGCUC